UACAGAGGUCCCAAGCGUUGUUCGGAUUCACUGGGCGUAAAGGGCGCGUAGGCGGCUUGGCAAGUGGAAGGUGAAAUCCCUCGGCUUAACCGAGGAACUGCCCUCCAAACUGCUUCGCUUGAGACCGGGAGAGGUGAGUGGAAUUCCCAGUGUAGCGGUGAAAUGCGUAGAUAUUGGGAGGAACACCAGUGGCGAAGGCGGCUCACUGGACCGGUACUGACGCUGAUGCGCGAAAGGGUGGGGAGCAAACAGG
rnacentral:rRNA from 1 species